CGAUUCUUAUAAAUUUAAUAUGAAAAACAAACAAAAAUUCCCAUCGGAAACGGCUUAUUGUUGUUUGUUGAAUAAUAUUUGAUAUAAUGUUAAGAGCAUAGUCGUGCGCGCUAUCAAACACCUGAUAAAAGUUCCGACAGUGUUUUUUUUUUUUUUUUUUUCAACAAUAAAAUUACAAGAAUCGAAGAGGCAAGAGACCCUGUCGCUCAGGUAUGAAUAUUCAAGAAUUUUUGGUGAUAUGCUUCUGCUUGCAAGGAGGCUAUCAUGCUCAUAAUAUCCUCGUAUUCUUGCCAACUUGUUUUUGGAGCCAUUUCAUGCAAGUCGAGCCAAUCUUCCAUGCGCUAGCGCUUCGCGGUCACAACAUGACUGUUGUCAGCCCGUUUCCUCCAAAAAAGGAAAUUCCAAAUUAUAGACAUAUUCAGUUAGAGGCGGACCAAUUUUUUAAACAGAUGCCAAACCGCAAUAUCAUAGAACUCACACAGGAUUCACCACAUGCGUUGUUCAGCGUGAAGGACUGGAAGGAGGUAGCUGAUUUAGAGAUGCCAGCUAUUCUCGAGUCGGCCGUUUUCAGCGACUUAGUUCGAGGCGAUAGCGAAUUCGACCUAAUUUUCACGGAGCUUUUCUUCUCGCAAGAGGCAUUGGUCGUUCUCGGCCACAUAUUCAAAGCCCCGGUCGUCUCAUACGCCAGUUUCGGAUACAGACCUGAUAUCCUCAGAUUUGCCGGAGCUCCAAAUGCCGUCGCGUAUCUUCCAUACAAAGAACUCGACUAUGCGGGGCCGAUGAACCUCCUACAGAGAUUAGAAAACGCAUUGGUCCAAUUUGGCCACAUGAUCUACAACGAGUAUUGGUACUACCCCCAGCACGACGCUCUCCUGGCAAAGUAUGUUCCCGGGCAACUCCCGCGCAUCACAGAUAUGCUGAGGAAUGUAUCACUACACUUUCUUACUGCUGACAUAUCUUUGGACGGGGCUAAACUCUAACCUCCGAAUGUAGUCGAAAUAUCGGGGAUACAUUUCAAGGAUCCGGCACCCUUGGACGAGGAAUUACAAAAUAUUAUGGACCGAGCAAAGAAUGGAGUAAUUUAUUUCAGCUUUGGGUCAAUACUGAAAGCUAGCUUUUUCAAGAGAGAGGAUGUGAGUACAUUCUUAACUGUUUUCAACGAAUUGGACCAGAC